rnacentral:lncRNA from 1 species
AUAAAUCCCUUUUCUAUUGUGACUUUAAUUGAAAAAACUCCCAUUUAUGCCCCUUCACGGGGUGUAAGAAAAAGGAGGUGUGAUAGUUGUGGCGACUCUACUGGGGACAAGAACCCAGAAUCUCCGGUUCAAGGUUCAAGAAUUCGAGCUUAGAAUAAUUGUUAUGGUGGGCUUUAUUUAUUAUCUAGUUUCAUUUACUUGCUUGGGCCUAACGUGCUAAAUAUUACUUUUUACCGCUUUGAUAUGGUUGAACUGUAUAUAAAUUGUUGCGAAACCCUCCUCUCUCUGAGUUUUCUAAGUCAUCUUGGAAGUGUGCACUUCGUGUAACUUCUUUUCUGUUAGAGUCUUAUCUCAAAGUUUAGAACGAGGUUCGGACAAGUUGCAAAGCCGCUGAAGCUUAUAUAUUCUCGGUACGCUUCA